AGAACGAACGCUGGCGGCAUGCCUAAUACAUGCAAGUCGAACGAACUCUUCGGAGUUAGUGGCGCACGGGUGCGUAACGCGUGGGAAUCUGCCCCUUGGUUCGGAAUAACAGUUGGAAACGACUGCUAAUACCGGAUGAUGACGAAAGUCCAAAGAUUUAUCGCCAAGGGAUGAGCCCGCGUAGGAUUAGCUAGUUGGUGAGGUAAAGGCUCACCAAGGCAACGAUCCUUAGCUGGUCUGAGAGGAUGAUCAGCCACACUGGGACUGAGACACGGCCCAGACUCCUACGGGAGCAGCAGUAGGGAAUAUUGGACAA
rnacentral:rRNA from 1 species